AACGAACGCUGGCGGCAGGCCUAACACAUGCAAGUCGAGCGCGCCCUUCGGGGUGGGCGGCGGACGGGUGAGUAACGCGUGGGAACGUGCCCUUUUCUACGGAAUAGCCCCGGGAAGCGGAGAGUAAUACCGUAUACGCCCUUUGGGGGAAAGAUUUAUCGGAAAAGGAUCGGCCCGCGUUGGUUUAGGUAGUUGGUGGGGUAAUGGCCUACCAAGCCGACGAUCCAUAGCUGGUUUGAGAGGAUGCUCAGCCACACUGGGACUGAGACACGGCCGAGACUCCUACGGGAGGCAGCAGUGGGGAAUCUUAGACAAUGGGGGCAACCCUGAUCUAGCCAUGCCGCGUGAGUGAUGAAGGCCUUAGGGUUGUAAAGCUCUUUCAGCUGGGAAGAUAAUGACGGUACCAGCAGAAGAAGCCCCGGCUAACUCCGUG
rnacentral:rRNA from 1 species